GAUGAACGCUGGCGGCGUGCUUAACACAUGCAAGUCGAACGGAAAGGCUCCUGCUUGCAGGGGUACUCGAGUGGCGAACGGGUGAGUAACACGUGGGUGAUCUGCCCUGCACUUCGGGAUAAGCCUGGGAAACUGGGUCUAAUACCGGAUAGGACCACAUUUUGGAUGGUGUGGUGGAAAGUUUUUCGGUGUGGGAUGAGCUCGCGGCCUAUCAGCUUGUUGGUGGGGUAAUGGCCUACCAAGGCGUCGACGGGUAGCCGGCCUGAGAGGGUGUACGGCCACAUUGGGACUGAGAUACGGCCCAGACUCCUACGGGAGGCAGCAGUGGGGAAUAUUGCACAAUGGGCGCAAGCCUGAUGCAGCGACGCCACGUGGGGGAUGACGGCCUUCGGGUUGUAAACUCCUUUCGCUAGGGACGAAGCGCAAGUGACGGUACCUGGAGAAGAAGCACCGGCUAACUACGUG
rnacentral:rRNA from 1 species